UGUUCUCAGGGCGGAGUGAAAUUCUCCACCGGUGGUGAUUCUAAAUUAGAUAAGUCCGCGAGCGCUACAAGCGUUGAUUUGGUGAAAGUCCAAAACCGACGGUGACAGUCCGGAUGAAAGAGAAU
rnacentral:ncRNA from 1 species